GCCAAAAUAAAAAAGUUACAAAUUAUAUAUCCAUUACUUGAUUACUUUGUCUUGUACAAUGUAUAUCAUGAUUCAUGCACUCUUCUCUUCGGAGGGAAAAAAUUAUUUUUAUAAUUAUAAUUUGUUGUAAUAUACACGUUGUACUGGUAUCUUCAAAAGAAAAAAAGAAAUCAAUAAUGGCCAAAAAAACAUAAGGGAUCACCCAAAACGUCAACUCAAACACAAACACAAAACAUGGACGGAUUUACUGAAUUUAGUCUAAGCUUCUGAUCACUCUGUUGGUCCCUCUUCCAAGUUUCCCUCUCUAGCCAUCCCUCCAGAAACCCUUUGCAGGAAAUUGCCUAGCAGUCUCUGGUCAAGAACCAUGUUUGGCACCUUAUCCCCAAAGAAAAUUUUUGUAUUAUCAGAUAUAGCUUCAAUAAAUUUCAGUUCAAGAAAUUCAGGAGUAAGCUUUAACUUGUUUGCUUCAGCUUCUUUCAUCACGCUGAAAAUAGAGAGCAAGCAGUGAAUUAUUGCCUUCAUAAGAUCAUUUUAAAAAUGCUUAAAAAAAUAAAGAAAGAAAAACCAAUCUAAGUGGAUUCACCGGUAAAAGGAAGCAUCAGCCAGGCUUUUUUCCUGAGCCAUAUACAUUUGAUUCUCAAUUUCUUGCUGUCUCCUUGCACUGUCUUUCUCCAUCAAUUUCUGCUCCAUUAGGAUCUUGCUCACAUUGGCAUUCUUCUCAGCUUCACUUAUAGCCAUCUUCUUUGUUGUCUCUGCCUCUUUCUCGAUUACUUUCUGCCUCUCAAUAGCAAUCAAAACCUUAGUGCGCUCUUCUUCCAUCUGCUCAAAAUUCCUUCUUAUGCUUUCUGGAAUGGUAGGCUUUGUGACACGCACACUUAUAAUUUCAAUUCCAGGAGCAUAACGUGUGCAAUCAACUUGAAGAGCAUCUUUCAUCUUUUCAUCAAUCUGGUCAAACACAUCAAUGUAGACUUGUUGGAGAGAGUGAGAGCUGCAGAACUGAUUGAUUUCAUGAUGAAUCUUGUCAUAUAUCCAUGUGUUGUCAUACUGCACACCAUAGUUGAGCAGUGUCUCAUAUACAUAAUCCUUACGAAGCCGGUUAACAACCUCUAUCUUUUCAAAGUUAAUCAUGACACCCCCUUUAGUACCACAUGGAAUAUCCCUCACUUGAUCUGUCUGAAGUGUCACUUGAACAGGCUCAUACUGAGUUAUCAGAGGCAGUUUUAGAUGAAAACCUGGCUCUGUAAUUGUUUUUAGAAGGGCACCUCCUCUCCAAUACACCCCAACAUGACCUUCUGGGACUUGGUGCAAGAUGGAUAAGCUAUUUUUAAUACUUGAGGAUGAUGGAAUUAUCAUCACAGAGAGGACAGCGAGAAAGAGGACAAAAACGGUGAGAAUGGGAGAGAAGUCGCCGUUGGGAGGCGGCGGACGAGCCUGUGGAGCUGCAGCUGCUGUAGCGUGUUGUUGAUCCAUGGAGGGUAAAAGUUCCUCUGUCAAAAUGGAGAUGGAGCACUAAUAGAGAAAUCGGAUGGAUUGAUACAACCCGUACUAUUGAAUCGUGACCGUUGGAUGGAGUGUAAAAUAGGCUCGGAAACACCCUAGUCGUUUCGUGGGGGUCUUCGUUGUAUGUAUCAUUAAUAUUCGCUGCUUCAACGAAGA
rnacentral:misc_RNA from 1 species